rnacentral:rRNA from 1 species
AGUGAACGCUGGCGGUAGGCCUAACACAUGCAAGUCGAACGGCAGCACAGUAAGAGCUUGCUCUUACGGGUGGCGAGUGGCGGACGGGUGAGGAAUACAUCGGAAUCUACUUUUUCGUGGGGGAUAACGUAGGGAAACUUGCGCUAAUACCGCAUACGACCUACGGGUGAAAGCAGGAGAUCUUCGGACCUUGCGCGAUUGAAUGAGCCGAUGUCGGAUUAGCUAGUUGGCGGGGUAAAGGCCCACCAAGGCGACGAUCCGUAGCUGGUCUGAGAGGAUGAUCAGCCACACUGGAACUGAGACACGGUCCAGACUCCUACGGGAGGCAGCAGUGGGGAAUAUUGGACAAUGGGCGCAAGCCUGAUCCAGCCAUACCGCGUGGGUGAAGAAGGCCUUCGGGUUGUAAAGCCCUUUUGUUGGGAAAGAAAAGCAGCAGGUUAAUACCCCGCUGUUCUGACGGUACCCAAAGAAUAAGCACCGGCUAACUUCGUG